rnacentral:rRNA from 1 species
UACGGAGGGUGCAAGCGUUAUCCGGAUUCACUGGGUUUAAAGGGUGCGUAGGAGGGCAGGUAAGUCAGUGGUGAAAUCUCCAAGCUUAACUUGGAACUGCCGUUGAUACUAUCUGUCUUGAAUAUUGUGGAGGUGAGCGGAAUAUGUCAUGUAGCGGUGAAAUGACUUAGAUAUGACAUAGAACACCAAUUGCGAAAGGCAGCUCACUACACAAUCAUUGACUCUGAGGCACGAAAGCGUGGGGAUCAAACAGG